GAUGAACGCUGGCGGCGUGCCUAAUACAUGCAAGUCGAGCGAACGGACGAGAAGCUUGCUUCUCUGAUGUUAGCGGCGGACGGGUGAGUAACACGUGGAUAACCUACCUAUAAGACUGGGAUAACUUCGGGAAACCGGAGCUAAUACCGGAGAAUAUUUUGAACCGCAUGGUUCAAAAGUGAAAGACGGUCUUGCUGUCACUUAUAGAUGGAUCCGCGCUGCAUUAGCUAGUUGGUAAGGUAACGGCUUACCAAGGCAACGAUGCAUAGCCGACCGGAGAGGGUGAUCGGCCACACUGGAACUGAGACACGGUCCAGACUCCUACGGGAGGCAGCAGUAGGGAAUCUUCCGCAAUGGGCGAAAGCCUGACGGAGCAACGCCGCGUGAGUGAUGAAGGUCUUCGGAUCGUAAAACUCUGUUAUUAGGGAAGAACAUAUGUGUAAGUAACUGUGCACAUCUUGACGGUACCUAAUCAGAAAGCCACGGCUAACUACGUG
rnacentral:rRNA from 1 species